rnacentral:lncRNA from 1 species
CACCCUCUGCUCUGUCCCGCACGCCCUGCAAGGAAGCCAGACCGGUUUGCAGCAGCAGAGCAGCCCGCAGUCGGACCUAACGCUCUAGUCGGCACAGGAAGAGAGCGACUCCCUCCCAGUUGGGUCGAAGCAAGUGGUACAGUUCAGCUUUAUCACUUCCUUCCACUUUCCCCUCCUCAGACAAAACAAAACACUUGUGGGAAAGAAAACUUGCGUUCUGUCAGAGGAAGACCAGCAUUUGAUGACCCUUGCUUGAGGACACUCCCUUGAGGCUCUACAAAGAGCA